rnacentral:rRNA from 1 species
GGGUUAGCAGGUCGGUCGUGCCAUUGGUAUGAACUGGUCUCGCUGAUCCCUCCCUCUUGACGAACUGUGAUGCCAUUAAUUUGGUGCGCCGGGGAAGCAGGACUGUUACCUUGAAAAAAUUAGAGUGCUUAAAGCAGGCUAUUGCCUGAAUACAUUAGCAUGGAAUAAUGAAAUAGGACGGCAUGGUUCUAUUUUGUUGGUUUCCAGGAUCGACGUA